GUGCCAGCAGCCGCGGUAAUACAGAGGCCUCGAGCGUUAGGCGGAAUCACUGGGCUUAAAGCGUGUGUAGGCGGACUUCUAAGUACCUUGUGAAAUCCCACGGCUCACCCGUGGAACUGCUCGGUAUACUGGUCGUCUUGAGCCUUCUAGGGGCGAGUGGAACAAAUGGUGGAGCGGUGAAAUGCGUAGAUAUCAUUUGGAACGCCAAUGGUGAAAACAACUCGCUGGGGAAGUGCUGACGCUGAGACACGAAAGCCAGGGGAGCGAACGGGAUUAGAUACCCCGGUAGUCC
rnacentral:rRNA from 1 species